rnacentral:rRNA from 1 species
CUCGUAGGCGGCCAACUAAGUCCGACGUGAAAUCCCCAGGCUUAACCUGGGAACUGCGUCGGAUACUGGAUGGCUUGAAUCCGGGAGAGGGAUGCAGAAUUCCAGGUGUAGCGGUGAAAUGCGUAGAUAUCUGGAGGAAUACCGGUGGCGAAGGCGGCAUCCUGGACCGGCAUUGACGCUGAUGAGCGAAAGCUAGGGGAGCAAACG